rnacentral:rRNA from 1 species
UACAGAGGGUGCGAGCGUUGUUCGGAAUUAUUGGGCGUAAAGGGCGCGUAGGCGGUGCGGUAAGUCACCUGUGAAACCUCUGGGCUUAACUCAGAGCCUGCAGGCGAAACUACCGUGCUGGAGUGUGGGAGAGGUGCGUGGAAUUCCCGGUGUAGCGGUGAAAUGCGUAGAUAUCGGAAGGAACAUCAGUGGCGAAAGCGACUUCCUGGACCAGUACCGACGUUCAGGCACGAAAGCGUGGGGAGCAAACAGG